AACGAACGCUGGCGGCGCGCCUAAUACAUGCAAGUCGAGCGAGAAGACGUAGCAAUACGUUUGUAAAGCGGCGAACGGGUGAGGAAUACAUGGGUAACCUACCCUCGAGUGGGGAAUAACUAGCCGAAAGGUUAGCUAAUACCGCGUACGCUUCUUGGACUUCGGUUCAGGGAGGAAAGCGAUACCGUGGGUAUCGCGCUCUUGGAUGGGCUCAUGUCCUAUCAGCUUGUUGGGAGGUAACGGCUCACCAAGGCUUCGACGGGUAGCUGGUCUGAGAGGACGAUCAGCCACACUGGCACUGCGACACGGGCCAGACUCCUACGGGAGGCAGCAGUAAGGAAUAUUGCGCAAUGGGCGAAAGCCUGACGCAGCGACGCCGCGUGGGGGAUGAAGGUCUUCGGAUU
rnacentral:rRNA from 1 species